CAGGGAGACAACAAAAUGUUAAAUAUUAAUUUUGUCACCUUAGGUCGAUCGGUAUCUCACAUUCUUAAUUUAUUAAGAAUUUUAUUUCCUAAGUUUUUUCUAGGUCACACCCAUUAUUUUCCCUGGGCCAUUAGCUCAGGUGGUUAGAGCGCACCCCUGAUAAGGGUGAGGUCCCUGGUUCAAGCCCAGGAUGGCCCAUAUCUCUAUGUUGGGGGUAUAGCUCAGUUGGUAGAGCGCCUGCUUUGCAAGCAGGAUGUCAGCGGUUCGAGUCCGCUUACCUCCACUGAUUACCACCUCUUCACAUAAUUUAAAGAAGGGAAAUCUUUGAGUUGUGAUCAAAUUCUGAACGAAUCUAGCUUCCUAAUAAUUUUAUUAAGAUGCUGGACUCAUUGAAUUAAUUUUCAUUGUUUUCAGAGAACCUUGACAACUGCAUAGAUUAUUUUUAAAGACAAUAAGCAUCUUUAAUGAUGCAGAUUUAUUAUUUGUGCGAAUGCAUUAAAUAACAAUUCUAUUAAGCUGAUGCUUCAAAUUUUGAAGUUAUU
rnacentral:tRNA from 1 species